rnacentral:sRNA from 1 species
CACCAAAAAUACAUGUUCUGCAACAUCUGUAUCCGCCCCACCCGAAGAGAAAGUUCCAGUUCCAACAUUGAGACUGAAAAUUGCUGGAAGUCCUUCGCAGUCACAACCUACGAAAUCACCACCCAAUGAGUCGAGCUGAAUGGAAACAUCGUGAACUUCGACGUUGGGGUUGAGUCAAUAUCUGUGGUUUCUCUUCCAAUACUUUCUCUGGUCUGGGGUCAUUCAAGUCGCACAACCCUGUUGAUGAGUAUGAGAGAGUCCUUUUUUCCAGCUAGACCCACAGGCAGCCCGCAUCGCGGAUGAUUGAAUCAGCUCCACCGUUAAUGUCCUAUUUGUUUCCUUUGCCAACCCUGGGCGUUCAUAUAAAUAAAUGUGUUUGGCCCCACAUAUUAGGACUCACAUCUCCCGUUUCCGACAAUGAGGGACGUUAAGAGAACUUGAAGUCGUGAGUGAAAAUCAGUCGAAUCCACAGCCGCCUAGUGUGCAAUAGAUAGAAGUCCAAAUGGGUUCGUUCAGCUAGUCGUCGCCAUCUAGUUAUAAUUAUGCCAUAGGUCGCUAACUGGAAACUCCUGUUCGAUCACUGCUCGCAACUUGUAACUGAUCUCGAACCACUCUGUUCAAUGUUUCGAGCUGGAUUGCUCUUUCUCUCUUUUCUUUCUUUUUCUUUUCUUCAGGCUAAACAAGAGUGUUUCUGGAUGCAAAAAGGUAAUGAACGGAAAAAAAAUAGAGGACUCAGAAACACAUAGCGAAUUUUUGAAGAUAUGUUCUGAAAUGAAUAGACCACUGG